UACAGAGACUGCAAGCGUUAUUCGGAUUCACUGGGCGUAAAGGGUGUGUAGGCGGUUGUUUAAGUUUGGUGUGAAAUCUCCCGGCUCAACUGGGAGGGUGCGCCGAAUACUGAAUGACUAGAGUGCGGGAGAGGAAAGUGGAAUUCCUGGUGUAGCGGUGAAAUGCGUAGAUAUCAGGAGGAACACCGGUGGUGUAGACGGCUUUCUGGACCGUAACUGACGCUGAGACACGAAAGCGUGGGUAGCAAACAGG
rnacentral:rRNA from 1 species